rnacentral:tRNA from 1 species
GAGGGUAUAGCUUAAGUGGUAGAGUGCAUGCUUAGCAUGCACGGGGCCCUGGGUUCAAUCCCCAGUACUCCUU